GGGCGCUUGGCGCAGUUGGUAGCGCGUCUGCUUUGCAUCGUCUCAAGCUUGGCUUUGGAUAGCAAAAUUUGCAUAAGGUCAUGGGUUCAAAUCCCAUAGCGUCCA
rfam:Coprinopsis cinerea okayama7#130 chromosome 6 cont3.6, whole genome shotgun sequence.